ACGCUGGCGGCGUGCCUAACACAUGCAAGUCGAACGGAGAUAUGAUUUCGGUUGUAUCUUAGUGGCGAACGGGUGAGUAACGCGUGAACAACCUGACUCUAAGAGGGGGAUAACACUCGGAAACGGGUGCUAAUACCGCAUAAGACCACGACCUGGCAUCAGGAUGAGGUCAAAGGAGCAAUCCGCUGAGAGAGGGGUUCGCGUCCCAUUAGAUAGAUGGCGGGGUAACGGCCCACCAUGUCAACGAUGGGUAGCCGAGCUGAGAGGCUGAUCGGCCACACUGGAACUGAGACACGGUCCAGACUCCUACGGGAGGCAGCAGUGGGGAAUAUUGGGCAAUGGGCGCAAGCCUGACCCAGCAACGCCGCGUGAGGGAAGAAGGCUUUCGGGUUGUAAACCUCUGUCCUUGGUGACGAAACAAAUGACGGUAGCCAAGGAGGAAGCCCCGGCUAACUACGUG
rnacentral:rRNA from 1 species